AUGGCGACCGGCGCACGGGUGAGUAACACGUAUCCAACCUGCCGAUGACUCGGGGAUAGCCUUUCGAAAGAAAGAUUAAUACCCGAUGGCAUAGUUCUUCCGCAUGGUAGAACUAUUAAAGAAUUUCGGUCAUCGAUGGGGAUGCGUUCCAUUAGGUUGUUGGCGGGGUAACGGCUCACCAAGCCUUCGAUGGAUAGGGGUUCUGAGAGGAAGGUCCCCCACAUUGGAACUGAGACACGGUCCAAACUCCUACGGGAGGCAGCAUG
rnacentral:rRNA from 1 species